GACGAACGCUGGCGGCGUGCUUAACACAUGCAAGUCGAACGGAAAGGCCCUGCUUUUGUGGGGUGCUCGAGUGGCGAACGGGUGAGUAACACGUGAGUAACCUGCCCUUGACUUUGGGAUAACUUCAGGAAACUGGGGCUAAUACCGGAUAGGAGCUCCUGCUGCAUGGUGGGGGUUGGAAAGUUUCGGCGGUUGGGGAUGGACUCGCGGCUUAUCAGCUUGUUGGUGGGGUAGUGGCUUACCAAGGCUUUGACGGGUAGCCGGCCUGAGAGGGUGACCGGCCACAUUGGGACUGAGAUACGGCCCAGACGCCUACGGGAGGCAGGAGUGGGGAAUAUAGCACAAUGGGCGGAAGCCUGAUGCAGCAACGCCGCGUGCGGGAUGACGGCCUUCGGGUUGUAAACCGCUUUCGCCUGUGACGAAGCGUGAGUGACGGUAAUGGGUAAAGAAGCACCGGCUAACUACGUG
rnacentral:rRNA from 1 species